rnacentral:rRNA from 1 species
CCUACGGGAGGCUGCAGUGAGGAAUAUUGGUCAAUGGACGAGAGUCUGAACCAGCCAAGUAGCGUGAAGGAUGACUGCCCUAUGGGUUGUAAACUUCUUUUAUAUGGGAAUAAAACGUUCCACGUGUGGGAUUUUGUAUGUACCAUAUGAAUAAGGAUCGGCUAACUCCGUGCCAGCAGCCGCGGUAAUACGGAGGAUCCGAGCGUUAUCCGGAUUUAUUGGGUUUAAAGGGAGAGUAGGUGGAUUGUUAAGUCAGUUGUGAAAGUUUGCGGCUCAACCGUAAAAUUGCAGUUGAAACUGGCAGUCUUGAGUACAGUAGAGGUGGGCGGAAUUCGUGGUGUAGCGGUGAAAUGCUUAGAUAUCACGAAGAACUCCGAUUGCGAAGGCAGUUCACUGGACUGCAACUGACACUGAGGCUCGAAAGUGUGGGUAUCAAACAGGAUUAGAUACCCUUGUAGUC